rnacentral:rRNA from 1 species
CUACGGGUCGCUCCAGUCGAGGAAAUUUUACAAUGCUCGAAAGAGUGAUAAAAUAAACCAGAGUGUUUCUCUUAGAGAAACUUUUGUCUACUGUAAAAAGGUAGACGAAUAAGGACUGGGCAAGACCGGUGCCAGCCGCCGCGGUAAUACCGGCGGUCCAAGUUGCAUCCACAUUUAUUGGGUCUAAAACAUUCGUAGCUUGUUUUGUAAGUCUCUUGUGAAAUCUCAUAUCUCAAGUAUGAGGCGUGCAAGAGAUACUGCAUUACUAGAGACCGGGAGACGCAAAGAGUACGAUUGAGGUAACGGUAAAAUGUGUUAAUCUUGAUUGGACUAACAAUGGCGAAGGCACUUUGCGAGUACGGAUCUGACAGUAAGGGAUGAAGGCUAGGGGCGCGAAAGGGAUUAGAUACCCUCGUAGUC